UACGUAGUUAGCCGGAGCUUAUUCCUCAGGUACCGUCAAAUUCCUCUUUCUUCCCUGAUAAAAGAACUUUACAUUACGAAUAACUUCUUCGUUCACGCGGCGUUGCUCGGUCAGGGUUCCCCCCAUUGCCGAAAAUUCCCUACUGCUGCCUCCCGUAGGAGUAUGGACCGUUCUCAGUUCCAUUGUGGCCGUUCAACCUCUCAGUCCGGCUACGCAUCAUCGCCUUGGUAGGCCCUUACCCCACCAACUAGCUAAUGCGCCACAGGCCCCUCCUUAAGCAGAUCUCUCUUUUAAAUAUAAAAGAUUCUUCCUCUAUAUCCUAUCCAGUUUUAUCCAUCGUUUCCAAUGGCUAUCCUCGUCUUAAGGGUAGGUUACCUAUGUAUUACUCACCCGUUCGCCACUAAAGUACCCGAAGGUACUUCCGUUCGACUUGCAUGUAUUAGGCACGCCGCCAGCGUUAAUCCUGAGCCAGGAUCAAACUC
rnacentral:rRNA from 1 species